rnacentral:lncRNA from 1 species
GAAAACUAUAAAGUGUAAUAAACAAAGGCAACAGUAAUCAUCAGUUACCAUAAAACCUUUUAAAAUAUACAAUAAAAAUAUAUGACGAUGAAGACUAGAUGAAUUCUACAAAGAACCUGAUUAUUAUUAUAAAUAUUGAUAUGAUCAUUCUAAAACAUUUCUUCUAUUUUUCUACACAAAAUUAUUAAUCAGAUUACAUGUGGGAUUCGGUUUUUUAAUAUUGCAACUUUUGCAAGCUAGUAUCAACACACUCUGAAGGAUCUAUAUUGUUUUACACAAAAAUGUGUUUGUUGAACUAUAUGAUAAGACUACAGUAAAUAUAGAAAUUUUUGCAAUUCUAAAACUUGUGAUUGGAAAGGUUGAUAAACACAAAUUAUAACUUACAUCUAAAAAAUUUAAAGAAUUAUGUAUGUGCAGUAAUUCUAAUCAUUGUAAUAAUUAAUCUGUAAUAAUAUUUUCUAUUGAACCAUUGCAAUAAUAUAAGCAUGCACAAAUUUCUGAAUUUGCAGUACUAUAUUUUAAGAUGAAAUUAUAUAUCUUUCACAUUUCAUUAUUUAGUAUCACACAGUUUUACAUUACAUUAGUAUAACCCUAUGCAACAUUUCUGUAGUAUGACCCUAGGUAACAUUUCAUUAAUAUGACCCUAUGUAACAGUUCUUUAGUAUCACACAGUUUUACAUUACAUUAAUAUAACCCUAUGCAACAUUUCUGUAGUAUAACCCUAUGCAACAUUUCUGUAGUAUGACCCUAUGUAACAUUUCUGUAGUAUGACCCUAUGUAACAUUUCUGUAGUAUGACCCUAUGUAACAUUUCAUUAAUAUGACCCUAUGUAACAUUUCUUUAGUAUGACCCUGUUUGACAUUUCAUUAGUAUAAAUAUACUGGCUAAAUUAAAAUAAAGUCUCAUUAUGUAAAUAUUGAAUCACAGCAAAUAAAAUAUAAUAUCAUUCUUUUUAAUUUGAUCUACAACUUGUCAAAGGCAAACUUUACAAUAAAUAUCAAAUUUAAUAUCUACAAACAUGAUAACACAAAGUGUGGGAUAACUGAUUAGUUGCAUGAGUUUUUGCAGUCUGGAGACAAAUGAUCACCCAAACUGAAUUAAUUUGAAACUGAUCUGUAACUGGUCAAGGUAAACUAUUUAUCAAAUUUCAAAUGAAUAGCUUCAAGCAUGAUGAAAAAAGCGCAGAAAACUUAUUAAUUGAGUAAAUUUUUGUCCAAUGACCAUAACUGAGUUACUCUGUGCAAAAUCAUCAGACAGGAUCAAAUUUAAACUUGAUCUGUAAGUUGUCGUGAUAAAACUAUAUACCAUAUAUCAAAUCAAUAUCAAGCAUGAAGAAAUAAAUUGGUGAGCGCAGCUGGAUACGACCGCAGAGGUCCAACACUGAACAGUUGGGGCAAAAAUGGACACAAUAUUCGUGCUUGAUACAGGUCUGAAUUUGGAUUGUUAUUAAAUAUUUGACACAUAUUAGGUUUCUGAUACAAUAACUGUAGUCGAAGAACUUAGAAUUGGUUAUAUGAUUUGAAUUUAUAUAUUUUUUGCUUUUGAGUAAUAGCCCCCCCCCCCUCCCCCUUUUUUUGGCAAAUAGUCCAUACCCUGACAUUUCUUUAUACAUAAUUUAGAAGUAGUGUAAAUAUUUUAGAAUUAACUCCCUUACACUGCUUUUAAAUUGUCUUAAUUGUCCAUUGACCAGAAAAGCCUAGUUUUUUCCUCCAAACUCAAUACUAACCAUCCCUUCAUGGUAUGGAAACUUGUGAUAUAAUUUCAGAGAGAUUCAUACAAUUAAACACAAGUUAUGUUUGGAAACUACAAAAAUGCUUAUUUGGGCCCUUUUUUAGCCCCUAAUUCCUAAACUAUUGGGACCAUAACCCCCAAAAUCAAUCCCAACCUUCCUUUAUUGGUACGACAUGAUAGCAUUCUACGACGCAAAAAAUGCUUUGCUGUCAUAUAAAAAGUGUGGAGAACUGAUUUGCGAGAGCAAACCAAAAGUGCCAUUUGGCUUUGCAAGUAGGGGACUAAUAAUGAAAUAUUAAAACAAACUUCAUAUAAUAAUGAUAAAGAUUGUGAUGUAAUAAAAGGCAGUACGUAUUGUCAAAGGAACAAAAUGUGGCAGUUUUGAGUGCUGAUAUCAACAUACCCGUAGCCAGGGGGGUUCGAGGGGUUUGGACGAACCCCCCUUGAAAACAAAUAAGCACUGUUAAAGUCAAUGUUCUGUUCGAAUUGUGACUGUUAAAGUCAAGUUUGUGAGUCCAACGAACCCCUCCUUAAAAAUUCUUGGCUACGGGCCUGAUCAAAUUGGUCAAAAUAUCAAAACUGAGAUCAACUUUGAAAUACAUUAAUUAACUUAAAAAAAAAUUUCAAGUUUAACACAUAAGGUGAUGUCAUACUUAACCUAUAAAUGGAUAUAACUAAUAAAAAUUCACUAAAUGCUAUUCAUAUGUACUUCAUCAACAUAAAUUAACUAAAUUGCUUGUGACCUUCUGGGAUUUUUUUAUGGUCUGCUUUAGCUAGAAAGAGAAAACAAGUUUUCACACGUUCUUUUAAUGUUUAAACUAAAGCUUGAAAUCAUUAUAAAUUUUCUUUGGUUUUUAAUAUGAAUGUAAAAAUAUCCUUACUUUAUAGAGCCUUGAACUGAUCUGUAUAUCUUCUUUUUUAAGACAGAUAAUUCAUUUUUGU